UACGUAGGGGGCAAGCGUUGUCCGGAUUUACUGGGCGUAAAGGGUGCGUAGGUGGCGCCGUAAGUCAGGUGUGAAAUCCCGGGGCUCAACCCCGGAACUGCACUUGAUACUGCGGUGCUCGAGUACUGGAGAGGAGAUUGGAAUUUACGGUGUAGCAGUGAAAUGCGUAGAUAUCGUAAGGAAGACCAGUGGCGAAGGCGAAUCUCUGGACAGUUACUGACACUGAGGCACGAAGGCCAGGGGAGCAAACGGG
rnacentral:rRNA from 1 species